rnacentral:other from 1 species
GGGUCCCUGCGCUGCCCGUGAUGUCGGCGGGAAGUUUCAACCUCGUACUCACAUCGGGAGCCGCAAGCGAGGGUGGUGUGCAAGCCCCUCUUCGAAGGGGAAGCCUGAAGCCCUCCGAGCCGGCGCCCACCUUGUACAUACCAGGUUCGAAACACCUCGGCACACGACAG